ACAAAGAGCUUUAAAGGAUAACAAAGACAAGGUGUAGAGGACAAUAUUUCUAAUCACAGAUAUUGUUAUGUACAGAUAGUCUUUUUCUUCUCAACUGAGACAAAAGCAUGUGUUACCCCUCUGAUAAAUGGGGCUCUCAUAGAAACGUGGAAUACCUCAGGGACUCUAUUUUACAAUAUACACAAGUGAUUUUUCAUGUCUACCGCCCUACAACUUCUACAAUGCAUGCAGUAAUGAAGAAGGUCCUUAAGUCCUAAAUCACUGUUAGGCUGAAAUUCUGAAAUCAAGCCCACAUAGAAUAGCUCAUAGCUGCAUUCCUAUUUAUUGAAAGCCCCAGUUAUCCUGUAUUUCAUCCAAGCAAGCAUAUAUCAUUUUGUUCAGUGACACUUUUUGUGAAAAGGAGCUAAUCAGGUCUUUAUUUUAGAGGAAAGUCUGCACAGAGCAGGAUGGAAGCUGUGGGCUGUUUUUCGUAUGGGGACCCAAAAAAGCGCCCUUCCAGAGGAGGACAAUUCCCUGAUACUUUUCUCUUGAUAAAAUGAAAAUGGCACUGGUUUCUCAGAGUUCACAGAUGCCUGAGUUUCUUCAUGAAGGCAAGGCCAUUUCUACAUAACCACAUAAGGAACUACUCCUGCAACGUUUCUGCUGCAGAAAAGUAAAUGAAGGCUGAACUCCUGUAGGCCCUAAUUUACAUCAGCUCCCCCACUGACAAACAGUCCCAGCCUGGAGGAGAGCCAAGCAUGGGUCCUGAAGAAACCAAACACCGG